rnacentral:rRNA from 1 species
AAUCAACGCUGGCGGCGUGCCUAACACAUGCAAGUCGAACGAGAAAGUGGAGCAAUCCAUGAGUAAAGUGGCGCACGGGUGAGUAACACGUGACUAACCUACCCUUGAGUGGGGGAUAACCUAGGGAAACCUGGGCUAAUACCGCAUAAUACCUACGGGUCAAAGGAGCAAUUCGCUUUUAGGAGGGGGUCGCGGCAGAUUAGUUAGUUGGCGGGGUAAUGGCCCACCAAGACGAUGAUCNGUAUCCGGCCUGAGAGGGCGCACGGACACACUGGAACUGAAACACGGUCCAGACUCCUACGGGAGGCAGCAGUGGGGAAUUUUUGC